rfam:Triticum urartu cultivar G1812 contig1234651, whole genome shotgun sequence.
GCAUUACUCCCUCCGUUCUAAAUUAUUUGUCUUAAAUUUGUCUAGAUACGAAUGUAUUUAGCACUAAAAUGAGUCUAGAUACAUCCGUAUCUAGAUAAAUCCAAGACAAAUAAUUCAGAACGGAAGGAGUAGUAU